UUGUCGAUGUUAACAUUUGGGAAAUUUAAUACCAUGUUGAUAAUUAGAGUUUAGGGUUUAGAGUUAUGAUUACGUCUUCUAAUGGAGUUACUAUAUUGGGCCAGUUUAUCUCAACUGGAAAAGUUAUUGGGCCGCGACUGACCUUAGUUGAAAGUUACAGAUUAUGACAGUAAUUUACUAAACUUCAUGGAUUGAAAUUGUGAAGAAAAUUAGGGGAUUAAAUUGCACUUUUGCAAUCGCUUCCCCAAUCCAUCAACAUAAGUCCCCUGUCUCCGACGAAAGGACGACAACGUCCUGUCUUCGGCGGGUCUUCGGAUCCGACGACAUCGACGACAACAACAACAGCUAUCUCAACCUCCACUAACCCGACACCGUCGCACGCUGCUCAAUUCGGGGGAACGACAUCCAACCUCUGCGACGGUCGUAAUAUAAAUGGAGAUCCAAGUUCACCCUUCACAAGAUUGAGAUCUGCCUCGACCCUUCACAGGCUUGAGAUCCGGAUCGAUUUGUAGGUGCAGACGAUUGCGAGAUCGACAUUGGGAUGGGAGUCGGCAGCGUCCACGGAUGAGCAGGGCUUGGCGAUGAAAGAGGUGAGCAGCGUCGUCGUUGAUAAUUUUAAAUAAAAAAUCAACUGAAAAUAUGUUUAGAAAUACCAAAAAUGCCACCACGUCAUUUUGUUGACUGGCUAACAGCUAUGUGUGGUUGUACUUAGUAACUAUUCCUAAUUGAAUAUAAAUUGCUCUCGGUAAUAACGUGCCUCUCUCUGGCCAUUGCUCAAAAUCAGCCGCAAGUCAACUCAC
rnacentral:lncRNA from 1 species